rnacentral:rRNA from 1 species
UACAGAGGUCUCAAGCGUUGUUCGGAUUCAUUGGGCGUAAAGGGUGUGUAGGUGGCGCGCUAAGUCGGGUGUGAAAUUUCGGGGCUUAACUCCGAAACUGCAUUCGAUACUGCCGUGCUUGAGGACUGGAGAGGAGACUGGAAUUUACGGUGUAGCGGUGAAAUGCGUAGAUAUCGUAAGGAAGACCAGUGGCGAAGGCGGGUCUCUGGACAGUUCCUGACGCUGAGGCACGAAGGCCAGGGGAGCAAACGGG